UCAAGAAACUUCCACAAUGGGCGAAAGCCUGAUGGAGCGACGUCGCGUGAUGGACGAAGUGCUUCGGCACGUAAACAUCUUUUAUGUGGGAUGAAAUUAUUGACAGUACCACAUGAAUAAGGGGCUCCUAACUCUGUGCCAGCAGGAGCGGUAAUACAGAGGCCCCAAGCGUUAUCCGGAAUCACUGGGCGUAAAGGGUGUCGAGGCGGUUGUAUUAGUCGUUCGUAAAAUCUACGAGCUUAACUUGUAGGCGGCGAACGAAACGGUACGACUUGAGGUUUGGAGAGGUGCGUGGAACUCACGGUGUAGGGGUGAAAUCCGUUGAUAUCGUGGGGAACACCAAGGGCGAAGGCAGCGCACUGGCCAAAAUCUGACGCUCACACACGAAAGCUAGGGUAGCGAAGAGGAUUAGAUACCCUCGUAGUCCCUGAGCGGGCUGGCAAGGCGCAU
rnacentral:rRNA from 1 species